rnacentral:rRNA from 1 species
CAGAGUAUUACGAGCCACAGCUUAAAACUCAAAGGACUUGACGGUGUCCUACACCCAUCUAGAGGAGCCUGUUCUAUAAUUGAUAAUCCACAAUAUACCUCACCAUUUUUUGUAAUACAGUUUAUAUACCGCCGUCAUAUAGCUUACCUUUUAAAAGAAAAAUAGUAAGCAAGAUUAUUUAAAAUUUAAAAGUCAGGUCAAGGUGUAGCAUACAGGAUGGAAGAAAUGGGCUACAUUUUCUUUAUAGAAUACACGGAAUGUUAAAUGAAACAACACACGAAGGAGGAUUUAGUAGUAAAAAGAAAAAAGAGAGUUCUUUUAAAAUUAUGGCAAUAGGACAAGUACACACCGCCCGUCACCCUCAUUUAUUAAAAUAAAAAUAUAUAAAUUAAUAAUAAUUAAGAAGAGGAAAGUCGUAACAUGGUAAGUCUACCGGAAGGUGGUCUUGGAAU